rnacentral:rRNA from 1 species
CGCGUUGUUCGUGAAAUCUCACGGCUUAACUGUGAGCGUGCGGGCGAUACGGGCAGACUUGAGUACUGCAGGGGAGACUGGAAUUCCUGGUGUAGCGGUGGAAUGCGCAGAUAUCAGGAGGAACACCGGUGGCGAAGGCGGGUCUCUGGGCAGUAACUGACGCUGAGGAGCGAAAGCGUGGGGAGCGAACAGGAUUAGAUACCCUGGUAGUCCACGCCGUAAACGGUGGGUACUAGGUGUGGGUUUCCUUCCUUGGGAUCCGUGCCGUAGCUAACGCAUUAAGUACCCCGCCUGGGGAGUACGGCCGCAAGGCUAAAACUCAAAGAAAUUGACGGGGGCCCGCACAAGCGGCGGAGCAUGUGGAUUAAUUCGAUGCAACGCGAAGAACCUUACCUGGGUUUGACAUGCACAGGACGCCGGCAGAGAUGUCGGUUCCCUUGUGGCCUGUGUGCAGGUGGUGCAUGGCUGUCGUCAGCUCGUGUCGUGAGAUGUUGGGUUAAGUCCCGCAACGAGCGCAACCCUUGUCUCAUGUUGCCAGCGGGUAAUGCCGGGGACUCGUGAGAGACUGCCGGGGUCAACUCGGAGGAAGGUGGGGAUGACGUCAAGUCAUCAUGCCCCUUAUGUCCAGGGCUUCACACAUGCUACAAUGGCCGGUACAAAGGGCUGCGAUGCCGCGAGGUUAAGCGAAUCCUUU